AUUGAACGCUGGCGGCAGGCCUAACACAUGCAAGUCGAGCGGAUGAAGGGAGCUUGCUCCUGGAUUCAGCGGCGGACGGGUGGGUAAUGCCUAGGAAUCUGCCUGGUAGUGGGGGAUAACGUCCGGAAACGGGCGCUAAUACCGCAUACGUCCUGAGGGAGAAAGUGGGGGAUCUUCGGACCUCACGCUAUCAGAUGAGCCUAGGUCGGAUUAGCUAGUUGGUGGGGUAAAGGCCUACCAAGGCGACGAUCCGUAACUGGUCUGAGAGGAUGAUCAGUCACACUGGAACUGAGACACGGUCCAGGCUCCUACGGGAGGCAGCAGUGGGGAAUAUUGGACAAUGGGCGAAAGCCUGAUCCAGCCAUGCCGCGUGUGUGAAGAAGGUCUUCGGAUUGUAAAGCACUUUAAGUUGGGAGGAAGGGCAGUAAGUUAAUACCUUGCUGUUUUGACGUUACCAACAGAAUAAGCACCGGCUAACUUCGUG
rnacentral:rRNA from 1 species